GUCGCAACGGCAGCCGCCUUAACCCCUGCAAUGUUCGCCUCACGCGAGCAGCGCUUGGCCAGGGCGAGCCUCUGCUCCAGGUGAGCACGGGUCACCGUUGCCAUCGCGAUCAAGACGAUGAUGGGAUGGGAGCUGAAGAGAAAGUCUGAAGCGAAGGAGGUGAUUAACCCAAGGAGAUCGAGGAGUACUGGCUACUAGUUUGAUCGAGAGUGAGUU
rnacentral:misc_RNA from 1 species